UACGGGGGGGGCAAGCGUUGUUCGGAAUUACUGGGCGUAAAGCGCGCGUAGGUGGCCUCGUAAGUCCGCUGUGAAAGUCCAAGGCUCAACCUUGGAAAGCCGGUGGAUACUGUGAGGCUAGAGUACGGAAGAGGCGAGUGGAAUUCCUGGUGUAGCGGUGGAAUGCGCAGAUAUCAGGAGGAACACCAAUAGCGAAGGCAGCUCGCUGGGACGUUACUGACACUGAGGCGCGAAAGCGUGGGGAGCGAACAGG
rnacentral:rRNA from 1 species